ensembl:lncRNA
CACAGCAUUUUCAUCCACACAAGAAAUAUUUGUCUACCCAAAACCACCGUUGAAAUCAGCAGCCAGGAUCACAAAAAUAAAGUUAUGCAACUGGGCUCUUUGUUUCCGAGACAAAAAGCCACACAGCACAACCUCCAGUGCAGCACUGCACAUACACACACAUGCACAGUCCUGCAGUGCCAGUUUUAUGGACAAUGCCAGCUCUGCACCUGCCCUGCAGCUAGGGAGCAGAACCGGGGGCUUCAAAGAUGAAUUUUGUAUGCACUCACACAGAGAGAGAGAGAGAGAGAGAGCGAGAGAGAGAAAUAACAAAGGUAUGGCUCAGAAAUAACCCUGAGCUCUUGGGGCACAGCUGAUUCAUCCCAAGGCUCAGUAGCCUGAGUCACCCAAUCAGUGCUGCAGGGGGGGGAAUGAUUCCACAGUCCUGGGAAGGCCUCAUCCCAUUCCAAAAUCGCUUCAGCUUCCCUGCCCCUGGGAGCAUCCCUGCUGUUGCCCCCCAGUCAUGAGCAUCCUUCCCUCCAUCCCUCACCCCAGACAGGUCCCCGGGCGCGGCGCUGCCGGUGCCCUCCCGUCAGCCGAUAUCCAUGGCAACCGCUCCCCAGCCAGGAGGAGACAGCUGAGCUGGAUUGAAAGCCUCCCUUCUGCUCCUGCCUCCAUCACGCGCUUUCCCUGCUCCCCCAGAUCCUUGGAAAGAAGAAAGACAAAGGAAUUUGAUGGAUGCAGCACCGGCACAAUCCUGUCCCACCUCUGUUGCAGCAGUUCAGAGGCUGAUGCUAAACCUCUGCUGUGUCCAGCUUGCCUCUGCGUGUUGUAUUACCCUAAAAGGAGGCUGAGACAGGCAUCUUACCUUAUUUUUAACACGGAGAGACCACUGCCAAAUGUCUCUGGAUCUGCAUUCACAAGAAUCUGCCUUCCCUUUGGCUGAUGCUGACUAACCCCAGUACAGCUCUGCAGCCUUACAAAGGUUUUCAGGAUAAGUCACUGAAUACACAGUCCAUUAAAAUGGCUUAGAAUAUACCUAGGAAACAUCUGUGAUAAAUAUAAGUUGUAAGAAAAAAAAGCUGCGAUUAGUAACUGUUUUAAAUACUAAAAGUUUGUGUUUUCCCCCAAACACACAGACAAUUAAGAGAAUCUGCAGCAUGAGGAAUCUCUUAAUCUCUUUGUGAAACCCAAAUUCGAAUGAUGAUAGAGGUGUAUUCCUGUUAGCUGGGAUGCCUUAAUGGUUUGGGGCACAGACAUGUUUCAGGUGACUGAUUGACCUAACUGGCUAAGAUGGCACCAACACGUUCUUCAGCUGCACUGUGAAAACAGCAGCCUACAGCAACAUCAGAAACCUCUGUUUUCCCUAGACAGAUGCAGUGGAUAGGCCACAUAUGUAGCAUAUUAAUGCAUAGAGAUGAUAUAUACAGGCUCUUUGUCUCAUCCUUCUAAAAAGGUUAUUAACUGUCUUUCUUACAUCUGAGGGGAGAGAUUGGCCAGAGCUGUCAUAUGUUCCUGUCAGAUUUUUCAUACCAGCACUGCAAAUUAGGGCUUUGGGGAGUUAGCAAAAAAUAAAGAUAGGUGGUACAGAGCCA